rnacentral:rRNA from 1 species
AGUGAACGCUGGCGGUAGGCCUAACACAUGCAAGUCGAACGGCAGCACAGUAAGAGCUUGCUCUUCGGGUGGCGAGUGGCGGACGGGUGAGGAAUACAUCGGAAUCUACUUUUUCGUGGGGGAUAACGUAGGGAAACUUACGCUAAUACCGCAUACGACCUACGGGUGAAAGCAGGGGAUCUUCGGACCUUGCGCGAUUGAAUGAGCCGAUGUCGGAUUAGCUAGUUGGCGGGGUAAAGGCCCACCAAGGCGACGAUCCGUGGCUGGUCUGAGAGGAUGAUCAGCCACACUGGAACUGAGACACGGUCCAGACUCCUACGGGAGGCAGCAGUGGGGAAUAUUGGACAAUGGGCGCAAGCCUGAUCCAGCCAUACCGCGUGGGUGAAGAAGGCCUUCGGGUUGUAAAGCCCUUUUGUUGGGAAAGAAAAGCAGCAGGUUAAUACCCCGCUGUUCUGACGGUACCCAAAGAAUAAGCACCGGCUAACUUCGUG